rnacentral:lncRNA from 1 species
GUCAAUACGAUCCGAUCAAUUACGAGAUAUGGAAUUGUGUCAAUCUCGAUCAUCGAUCAUAUCUUUCAUUCCACUAUUAAGUCAAUAUAAAUCGAAAACUCCUUUUCGACUUAUGAGUACACCUUGGCCAAGGAUUUCAUCAUCGACUUAAUUGAAUGAAACGCAGAUUAUCUCCUACUAUCUAAGAGUGACGAAUCCUUUAUUGAUCAAUCACAACCUUCAUACGAUUCUUGACGUACCCGAACGAUGUCGUAUUAGCGGCCCUUUUCAGAGCAACAUCCAACACCGCCAAAGUAUGACUGUCCUCAUAUAGGGUACUAUGACGACCUCAAGUCAAAGGAUCAAUCCCACUAUCGAACGUUAGAGAUUAGCCACUGACACUCAGAUAGUUAUCCAUGUGGAAUCUCUUAGCGGGUCUCCAAUGUUUUGUUCUACAACAAAACAUCCACAUGUUCAUUUAAGUGUCACCACACUUUAGCUCGUGAGAUCAGCUACUUACUUCAUAAGUAAGAAAUGCCACACGUGAUGGUUUAACUGUAUUAACGAUAUCCGUAUCUCGUUAUUACUUACGACCAUGGUUUAUUCAAGAUCCAAUUAUAUGUAAUUUGUAUCUCACAAUCACAAUUCCUUGUGAUUAACAGAUUACCUAAAAAUUGGGUCUUAGGAUUCUAUUAUUUAAUAUUAUUUAUUACAAAAUUAAUUUAAAUAAAUAAUAGAUCUCGCCAAAAUCAAAUGCAUUAAAUAUAUUAAAAGCGUUUACAACCUAAAUCGAUUGGAUUUAGGGCAUAACACUUACACCUAUGUUGCUGAGUGUGGAUAAUUGUUCAACCCGGGUGAAGAAAACGUGAUCCUUUUAAAUGCGCCUCUUCAAUUAAUUGAUUCUUGAUCAGGCUGUACACUUGGCCAUCUUCCAACCGUUGAUCUGUGGCUUUUUGAUUAAUUGCUUAAAGUAGUGUUUGGCCAUUCAUUUUAGAGACGGUUGAACUUUGUGUUUUAGGGUUUUCUCUCCACUUCCUCUCUAAUCACACUGUAUAUUCUUUGUGAGUUUCUUGAUUUGAAAAUCUGAGUGAUUUUGAGAUUCUACACUUGAUGUAUACUGUGAGAAAGGUUCUUAGUGAUUUGGUGUGGUUUUGUACUAUGUGUUGAAGCUAGAGGAAACAUCGAAGAAAUCUCUGAUUUCUUCGUACAUAUUGUAACUUUUCUUGGUGAUUUCUUAGUGGAUCUAGAGCUUUAUCGACUUGUGAAUGCUCAACGGGUGAGUAGGUCGUAAGACUGAACAUUCGGACCUUUUGUGGUGAAAAAUUCCUCGUGUUCUUGAUUCUUUUUAAGUUACUGCAAUUUUAAUAUGUUUUAUUUCUGAAAAUACAAUUUUAAACUAGAUCGUGAUACCAACAGAACCCAGAUGAAAAAUGCAUAUUCUAGUUCUCAAAUAACCUUCACUCUUCGUUGUUUGCUAUCAUAUGAGAAAGAGUACCCAUUAUGAGAUUUAAAUUUCUUGGAACCUUUUUCUUUUUAUUCCAUAUCAUUUCAUUCAAUCAGGCAUUUUCUGUACUUCAAUUUAGUUGGAGACAACAUGUCUUGAACUUCAACUACAACUUGAAAGGUACAAUCUAUUUUCCUAAUGUUAUAGUUAAGUUUAUUCAUCAGUAAUUAAUGACUCUUGUUGAUUCUUCAAGAUAUGUGCCAGUAAGCAGAAUCCACACGACAAUGAAAAUGAAGUAGAGAAGUUGCACAAAAGUUUUGCUCAGAAUUACGGGAGAAUAAAUUGAACAGGCAAGUUUAUAACAAUAGACUCAAUAAGGGUAAUGGAAAAAAUUUGACAUGUUGGUUAAUUUGUUGACAGUAAAUUUGUAAUCUCCGUAGCCAGACUUCCCCUUGACAUGUGUGUAAAAAAUUUCAUAUUGCUAAUGUUGUUUUCCUCUAAAUUUCUGCAAAUAUACUCCGAUAUUGUUUUAUUUGAUAGCUAUGUAGUCUUUCAUAUUCAAAGAUCAUAAAC